rnacentral:rRNA from 1 species
AUUGAACGCUAGCGGGAUGCUUAACACAUGCAAGUCGAACGAGUGGCGGACGGGUGAGUAAUAUAUCGGAACGUGCCCAGUAGCGGGGGAUAAAUUCUCGAAAGGGGGGCUAAUACCGCAUACUUUUGGAGCGGGCUAUAUCGGAUUAGCUUGUUGGUGGGGGAAAGGCUCACCAAGACAAAGGUCCGUAGCUGGUUUGAGAGGACGACCAGCCACACGGGGACUGAGACACGGCCCAGACUCCUACGGGAGGCAGCAGUGGGGAAUUUUGGACAAUGGGGGAAACCCUGAUCCAGCCAUCCCGCGUGUAUGAGAAGGCCUUCGGGUUGUAAAGUACUUUUGGCAGAGAAGCGGUAUCUGCAGAAUAAGCACCGGCUAACUACGUGCCAGCAGCCGCGGUAAUAC